UACGUAGGGUGCAAGCGUUGUCCGGAAUUAUUGGGCGUAAAGAGCUCGUAGGCGGUCUGUCGCGUCGGUCGUGAAAACUUGGGGCUUAACCCUGAGCUUGCGGUCGAUACGGGCAUGACUGGAGUUCGGCAGGGGAGACUGGAAUUCCUGGUGUAGCGGUGAAAUGCGCAGAUAUCAGGAGGAACACCGGUGGCGAAGGCGGGUCUCUGGGCCGAUACUGACGCUGAGGCGCGAAAGCUAGGGGAGCGAACAGG
rnacentral:rRNA from 1 species